AUAUUUUGGAAGGAGACUACCCUCCCCAUAACCCUUUCCCAUCAAAGGGACUUCUUCAUUUAAAACAUUCUUUAAAUGAUUUUAAAUGAUUAAAUUAUCUUUUUUUGUUUUUUUCACCAAGUCCAUGCAACUGCAGAGCAGGAUCAUGUACAGAGAGGGAUAAAGGUAUUCUUUCAGAUGUGCUGUAUUCAAUGGUUUGACAAGAAUCUGCAGCUUGGACUAGAUGCCAACAGCACUGUUAGACCAACAGGAAGAGGAAAAGCAGCUUCAAACUGAUGCACAGAUAGCACAGACGUUUCUACAGAGAAAGGAUCCCAAAACAGAUACAGCUACCUUUCAGGACGGAGCAGCCAAGGACACACGGUAAAAAGCUGCAGAGUUGGAGGAGUGACACAAACCUGUUGAGCGACUCUUCCUCCCUCCUGCUCGGCUGCCGGGGAGUGGGACACUUGUUUCUUGCGCACAGGGGUUUUGAUCUUUUUGCAUCGGCAUCCGCUUCCUCCAUCUACAAAGGCCAUGAAAGAGAAUGAGUAAUUCAUCUAUCUGUGUGCAAGUGAGUGUGCAUCUGUGUGUGUGUGUUCGGUUUGACCUAUUUCUGCUUCACUGACAUGAGGCUGGCAUUUCAUGCUCACCGGUAUUACUGCAGUCACGGGCAAACAGUUGCAUAAGCCACUUGAUUUCCACACUUCCACAAAGAUAAUGUUCAUAGUUUUUUCGAGUAAAUAAUGUUUUUGCAGAUUUUACUUAUUCAUAAAAAGUCCUGUGAACAUGCCUUUAGAUGGGCCUAAAGUCCAGUCACACACAAACAUAAGAGGUUCGAUUGUUGCUAGUGUUGUUCAGCAUUCUGCACAAGGUGCCUUUUGCAGUUUUACUUAAUUUUGUAUAUUUUGUCAUCUUUUUACACACAUAAAUAUGUUUGUGAAAGAAAUAGCAUGAAUAAAUAAUCAGAAAGAACAAAGUAAAGAAACAAAAUGAGAGGAAGGUAACCUGCUUCUAUUCGGGUAAAGAAAAAUAAGUUUUAAAAAAAUAUGAAUAAAAUGAAUAAAAGAUGACUGUGAAUUGGUGCAAAUAUUUCAAAAUGGCUUCCAGCUUCGGAAUAAAAAAAAACAGCUAUGAAAAUUACAACACUUAUUAUACAGUCUAAAAUGUGUAAUACAGAAAACACCUGCAUCACAAUUAUGAAGGAAAUAUAAAUAAAUAAUGAGCGGAAAACAUCUUGAUUCAUGUUUUGGCCAUCUGAGUCUCACACACACACACACAUGCACACACACACAUGUAGCCAGCUCCUCACCUUGAGAAGAGGAAAGAGG
rnacentral:lncRNA from 1 species